GUCAGGUUGGCCGAGUGGUCUAAGGCGUCAGAUUUAAGCUCUGAUCCCCUCAUGGGGUCGUGGGUUCGAACCCCACACCUGACA